CAGUCGAGCGACGCGCCUUCGGGUGACGGAGCGGCGAACGGGUGAGUAACACGUGUGCAACCUGCCCUCAGCUCUGGGAUAACUCCGGGAAACCGGGGCUAAUACCGGAUACGACCUCUGCCGGCAUCGGUGGGGGUGGAAAGUUCUUCGGCUGAGGAUGGGCCCGCGGCCUAUCAGCUUGUUGGUGGGGUGAAGGCCUACCAAGGCGACGACGGGUAGCCGGCCUGAGAGGGCGACCGGCCACACUGGGACUGAGACACGGCCCAGACUCCUACGGGAGGCAGCAGUGGGGAAUAUUGCGCAAUGGGCGAAAGCCUGACGCAGCGACGCCGCGUGGGGGAUGAAGGCCUUCGUGCUGUAAACCUCUUUCAGCAGGGACGAAUUCAGACGGUACCUGCAGAAGAAGCACCGGCCAACUACGUGCCAGCAGCCGCGGUAAUACGUAGGGUGCAAGCGUUGUCCGGAAUUAUUGGGCGUAAAGAGCUCGUAGGCGGUCUGUCGCGUCGGCUGUGAAAACUUGGGGCUCAACCCCAAGCCUGCAGUCGAUACGGGCAGACUAGAGUGCGGUAGGGGAGACUGGAAUUCCUGGUGUAGCGGUGAAAUGCGCAGAUAUCAGGAGGAACACCGGUGGCGAAGGCGGGUCUCUGGGCCGUAACUGACGCUGAGGAGCGAAAGCGUGGGGAGCGAACAGGAUUAGAUACCCUGGUAGUCCACGCCGUAAACGGUGGGUGCUAGGUGUAGGCGGUAUUCCACGCCGUCUGUGCCGCAGCUAACGCAUUAAGCACCCCGCCUGGGGAGUACGGCCGCAAGGCUAAAACUCAAAGGAAUUGACGGGGGCCCGCACAAGCAGCGGAGCAUGUGGCUUAAUUCGACGCAACGCGAAGAACCUUACCAAGGCUUGACAUGCAGGGAAAUCCUCCAGAGAUGGGGGGUCCGCAAGGGUCCUGCACAGGUGGUGCAUGGUUGUCGUCAGCUCGUGUCGUGAGAUGUUGGGUUAAUACGGGCGGUGAGUGCAACCCUCGUUAUAUGUUUCCAGCGCGUGAUGGCGGUGACUCAUAGGAGACUACCGGGGUCAACUCGGAGGAAGGUGGGGAUGA
rnacentral:rRNA from 1 species